UACGUAGGGUGCAAGCGUUACUCGGAAUUACUGGGCGUAAAGCGUGCGCAGGCGGUUGUGCAAGACAGGUGUGAAAGCCCCGGGCUCAACCUGGGAAUUGCAUUCGAGACUGCAUAGCUAGGGUGCGGAAGAGGGAAGCGGAAUUUCCGGUGUAGCGGUGAAAUGCGUAGAUAUCGGAAGGAACAUCAGUGGCGAAAGCGGCUUCCUGGUCCAGCACCGACGUUCAGGCACGAAAGCGUGGGGAGCAAACAGG
rnacentral:rRNA from 1 species